rnacentral:rRNA from 1 species
AUAUGCCCGAACUAUAAGUGUGCUCCCAACCAAGUUUUAGUGGCCAAGAAAAGUUUGUCUGAAGCUGUGAAAGCUAAACUCAGAGAAUAUGACUUUGUAAUAUUCUUGGACUUGAAAUUGAGAAGUAUUGAGAACACCAAGUUGUUGAUGUUCCUCAUGGAUAGGCUGGAUCCCAAUACGCUUACCUUGCGCAUUACAGAUAAUAAGCACUUGAAAAUUACUAGGCACUCCAUCGAAUGUGUUCUUGGGUUGCCAGAUAGGGGUACAAACAUAGUUGUACCAGGUAAAGACAUCCAAAAGAAAGCGUUAUGUGAACUGAAGAUGAAGCUUGGUGUCGAUCAAAGUGAAGAUGUCAAGGUGCAAGAUUUGAUUGCACAGAUUGCGAAAGAUGAAGAGGGUGAUGAAUUCACGAUCAGGUGCUUCGUGAUGAUCCUCCUGAACAAGUUACUCUUGCCAGGGACUUGUGAUUACAUCACAGGAAAGGAGGCUGCAUUGACGGAGGACAUCACUAAGCUGUGCUUGGUAAAUUGGGCUAAAUUAAUCUUUGAUGACAUUGUGAAUGCCUCUAAAUCAUGGCACUCAAAGAAGACUGGAACCACCAACCCCUCUAUUCAUGGCUGUGUGUUGUUCCUAGUUGUGAGUAUCACAUCCUUUCUUCACACUCAACCAUCAAAAACCAAUGUUGUGAACCCUCUUGGUAGUGAAGUUGUGACUGUGUUAAUGUAUGUGAUUUUAUAG